GUGGGGAAUCUUGCGCAAUGGGCGAAAGCCUGACGCAGCCAUGCCGCGUGAAUGAUGAAGGUCUUAGGAUUGUAAAAUUCUUUCACCGGGGACGAUAAUGACGGUACCCGGAGAAGAAGCUCCGGCUAACUUCGUGCCAGCAGCCGCGGUAAUAUGAAGGGGGCUAGCGUUGCUCGGAAUUACUGGGCGUAAAGGGCGCGUAGGCGGACAGCUUAGUCAGAGGUGAAAGCCCAGGGCUCAACCUUGGAAUUGCCUUUGAUACUGGCUGUCUUGAGUUUGGGAGAGGUGAGUGGAACUCCGAGUGUAGAGGUGAAAUUCGUAGAUAUUCGGAAGAACACCAGUGGCGAAGGCGACUCACUGGCCCAAUACUGACGCUGAGGCGCGAAAGCGUGGGGAGCAAACAGGAUUAGAUACCCGAGUAGUC
rnacentral:rRNA from 1 species